rnacentral:sRNA from 1 species
GUCGUGAGAUGUUGGGUUAAGUCCCGCAACGAGCGCAACCCUCGUCCUAUGUUGCCAGCGAGUAAUGUCGGGGACUCAUAGGAGACUGCCGGGGUCAACUCGGAGGAAGGUGGGGAUGACGUCAAGUCAUCAUGCCCCUUAUAUCCAGGGCUGCACACAUGCUACAAUGGCCGGUACAAAGAGCUGCGAUACCGCGAGGUGGAGCGAAUCUCAUAAAGCCGGUCUCAGUUCGGAUUGGGGUCUGCAACUCGACCCCAUGAAGUCGGAGUCGCUAGUAAUCGCAGAUCAGCAACGCUGCGGUGAAUACGUUCCCGGGCCUUGUACACACCGCCCGUCACGUCACGAAAGUCGGUAACACCCGAAGCCAGUGGCCCAACUCGCAAGAGAGGGAGCUGUCGAAGGUGGGAUCGGCGAUUGGGACGAAGUCGUAACAAGGUAGCCGUACCGGAAGGUGCGGCUGGAUCACCUCCUUUCUAAGGAGCAUCUAGACACCCGCAAGGUGUCCAGAGAUCUCGCUUCGAGCGAAUGCCUCGAGGGAGAUGCUCAAGGGUGGAACACUAACCAGCUCACGAUGAGCAAGCGGCAGAUAUCGUCAGUACGACCGCGUAAGCGGCACGGAACCGCGAUGCUGGCGAACCAUCUCGAGCGACAAACGGCACGCUGUUGAGUCCUGAGGGAGCGGAUAACCUCCGCCCUCAGGCCUACUGGCAUGUGGCCAGUAAGUCAUGAGGUCUGACACUCCGGCCGCCGAACGACGUCGACACGACGCACGCGGCGAGCAAGCCGGCAAUGUCACCCGUACCUUGAGAACUGCACAGUGGACGCGAGCAUCUUUGUGGCAAAGUUAAUAAGGGCGCACGGUGGAUGCCUUGGCACCAGGAGCCGAAGAAGGACGUAGGGGGCUGCGAUAAGCCUCGGGGAGCUGUCGACCGAGCUGUGAUCCGAGGAUUU